UUACAGCCAUAUCACGUUGAAACACCGAUUCUCGUCCGAUCACCGGAGUUAAGUAACUUUGAACCUGCUCAAUACGUAGAUGGGUUACAACUCCGGAAUAGCAGGUGCUGUUA